rnacentral:rRNA from 1 species
GACAGAGGGUGCAAACGUUGUUCGGAAUUACUGGGCGUAAAGCGCGUGUAGGCGGCUUGGCAAGUCGGGUGUGAAAGCCCUGGGCUCAACCUAGGAAGUGCACUCGAAACUGCUUCGCUUGAGUGUCGGAGAGGAAAGCGGAAUUCUCGGUGUAGAGGUGAAAUUCGUAGAUAUCGAGAGGAACACCGGUGGCGAAGGCGGCUUUCUGGACGAUUACUGACGCUGAGACGCGAAAGCGUGGGGAGCAAACAGG